rnacentral:rRNA from 1 species
UACGGGGGGUGCGAGCGUUGUCCGGAAUCAUUGGGCGUAAAGGGCGCGUAGGUGGCCCGGUCAGUCUUUGGUGAAAGCGCGGGGCUCAACCCUGCGUCGGCCAGGGAUACUGCCGCGGCUCGAGCACUGUAGAGGCAGGCGGAAUUCCUGGUGUAGCGGUGAAAUGCGUAGAUAUCAGGAGGAACACCGGUGGUGUAGACGGCUUUCUGGACCGUAACUGACGCUGAGACACGAAAGCGUGGGUAGCAAACAGG